UGUGAGAGGAGGAGGACGCCCCCCCCCCAAACCGAAGCCUCCGUCAAGCACUAUCCCAUUCCCGUCUGUCACCAGCAGCGGCAAGACUCCACCAAGUCCAUCCUCAUUCAUCACCGGCAAGUCUCCACCGAGUCCAAUCUCGUCCAUCACCGACAGGAGCACGAAGAUUGGCAUGUCCAGUGGCAGCAUGUCGACACCACCAACAGAAAGUGGUGACCAAGCUGUAGUUGCAUAUUUUGGGACAGGAAGUGUACCUCAAAUUGAGCACAUGGAAGAGGAAGAGGAUGACUUCGAUGAGUCCAUUCAUUAUCAUGAGUUUGCAGAUCCUAUUUUUGUUUCUGAUGAAGAGGAAGAUGGGGCUGGAGGGGAUGAGACUGGAGAAGAUGAGGCUGAAGAGGAGGAGGAGAAUGUAGAAGUUGCUUCCAAAAGAAAACUUACCUCAACUGUGUGGGCUGAGUUCAAGAGAGUGAAGGUUGCUGGAAAAUGGAAGGCAAAGUGUGUUUAUUGCAAUAAGGAGCUUGGAGGAGAACCAAAGAAUGGGACCAAACAUCUUCACUACCACUUAGGUAUUUGUGUUCUGAAAAAGAUCAAGACCAAGGGUAAAACCCUUAGUCAAUCUUCUUUGAGGUUUGGUUCUGCAAGCCAAGGAAAAGUAAAUGUGGAGAAUUACACAUUUGAUCAAGAUCUAAUGGGCAUGGCUACAAUUCUUGAUCCUCGGUACAAAAAUGAGAUGUUGCUUGUUUGCUUUGCAAUGUUACAUGGUGUCAACGUUUCAUCUGCAGAAUGUGAGGGGUAUGUGGCAGAAUUAGUUGCCAAGUUAUGCAAAUUGUUAGAGGAAUACAGUCUUGAGAAGGAUGAUGAUGAAUCAGCCCCUUCUUCCUCUUUUUCUUCUAUGCAAGCCCCAGCUCUUAUGUCACUCUUCAAUGAGCGUGUUGCUCAGAAAAGGCCAACAGCUUCUAGGAUGAAAUCUAAGUUAGACCGCUACUUAGAAGAUGAGCUAGUUCCAGUUUACAAGAUAAAUUUAAUGUGCUAGAUUGGUGGAAAGUGGCUGGAACACGCUAUCAUACUUUGCGGAUGCUAGCCCGUGACAUCUUUGCUAUUCCAGUCAGCACCGUUGCUUCAGAAUCUGCAUUCAGUACAAGCGGUAGAGUUCUAUGUGACCAUCGUUGUAGUCUUACUCCAGAAAUGUUAGAGACUCUAAUGUGCUCACAAGAUUGGAUACGGAACAAAUAUAAAGAUGGCAACAAUGCAAACUCACCAAGUUUCUGGACUUGACUCCAAGACAAUCAAGAGGUUCUACCCUCACCUGAUCUGGAAAGUUGCGCUUGAUGCUUCAUGAAGAAUGGAGAUUUGGAGGCUGCCAUGUUGAACCAUUGAUGACUUUCUACUGUUCUUUUGGUCCCAAAGACUUAUUUGCUUAAAUUUAUGUGUGUGAACCUAUUAGUUGUAAUUCCCUCAUCGUAAGAUUGUGAACUACUAUGUGUUGGUGUGUGAAAACUGAGAUUUGGAUGCUGAUUAUGUGCUGAAUUGCUGUUGUUUACUAUGAAACCUGGAUAUUUAUUAUGCUA